AGGUGACGGUUGUUUGAGGGGCUGUAAACUUCUUUUUUAUUGUCGUCUU
rnacentral:tRNA from 1 species